UACGGGGGGAGCAAGCGUUGUUCGGAUUUACUGGGCGUAAAGGGCGCGUAGGCGGUCAGUGCAAGUCAGUUGUGAAAUCUCCGAGCUUAACUCGGAAAGGUCAACUGAUACUGCUCGACUAGAGUGCGGAAGGGGCAACUGGAAUUCUUGGUGUAGCGGUGAAAUGCGUAGAUAUCAAGAGGAACACCUGAGGUGAAGACGGGUUGCUGGGCUGACACUGACGCUGAGGCGCGAAAGCUAGGGUAGCAAACGGG
rnacentral:rRNA from 1 species